CUUGUACUCCCUCCGUCCCAAAAUUCCUGUCUUAGAUUUGUCUAGAUAGGGAUGUAUCUAAUACUAAAACGUGACUUGAUACAUCUGUAUUUAGACAAAUCUAAGACAAUAAUUUUGGGACGGAGGGAGUACUUG
rnacentral:pre_miRNA from 1 species